CAGAUUCUGUGCUGCUUUAGUGUUCUUUAAAGGUUUAAGAAGAAAAGCGGCAGCUUCUUGAAAGGAAUAAGCCACAAAACAGGGGAUGUUCACCCAGAAGGAAAUGAAAGAGAGCUGCAGCAGAAUCAUCUGUCCUACAAAGGUGUCCCAGACUGCAAGGCAGGAUGGAUCCAUUUCCCAUUUCUACGGCAGUUGUCUUCUGUUGAGUGAGCAGUUUUCCUUCUCUCCUCCACAGCCAGUCCUCUCUCAGGGCAGAGAUCUGCUGAUAAUGGGCUACUGAAUGUCACUGUGUGACUGAUAAGAGCUGUAACAUCCCACUUCGAGAUGGGAGCCCAGAGGGAGGAGCCAAGCAUUCCUACCUGGAUAUAAUCUGGGUUUUUGGGGCACCAGCACGGCUUUUUCUCCACUGGAUUUUCCAGAGGAACAGCUGCCUCUUCCACUGCCUCUUCAGAGGAAGACUGCACCUUUUUCUAGGAUCACUGCUCCAACAGAACCACACCUGCCACUCCAGGAGGACUACAGCCAUAAUUCCCAGUUGGAUUGCCUCCAGCACCCUGACCAACAGGGUGUCAGGUUGUAUUCUGACUCUGUCAGUGUUGGUUUGGUUCACUGCAUUAUUUAUUUUAUCUUUUUAUUUUCUUCCCUAAUAAAGAACUGUUAUUUGCUCCCAUAUGUAUAGAACUA